ensembl:lncRNA
CAUCACCACCUACUUCACCACAAUCAUCAACCUAUCACUCAUCAACAAAUGAAUCUCUAGAAACUUCAGCAACACAGGCAUUUACAGCAUCACCAUCUACUUCACUAGAAUCAUCUACAGAUCACUCAACAUUUGAAUUUCCAGAAACAUCAACACAAAUUAUUACAGCAGUUUCAUAUACUUCCCCAGAAUCAUCAACAUAUCCCUCUUCAAGACCUGAGUCUCCAGAAACUUCAGCAGAAGAAACAGUUACUGCAUCACCAUCUACUUUCUCAGAAUUAUCUACAGAUCACUCAUCAACAAAUGAAUCUGCAGAAACUUCAGCAACACCAUCAGUUACAAUGUCGCCAUCUACUUUUUCAGAAUUAUCUACAGAUCACUUAUCAACAGUUGAAUCUCCAGAAACUUCAGCGACACAAGCAGGGACAGCAGCACCAUGUACAUCACCAGAAUCCACUACAGAUCAGUCAACAACAUCUAAAUCUCCAGAAACGUCGGCAGCACAAGAGUUGGUGCAACACCAUUUACUUUCUCUGAAUUAUCUAUAGAUCACUUAUCAACACUUGAAUAUCCAGAAACUUCAGCGACUCAAGCAGUUACAGCAUCACCAUCAACUUCACCAGAAUCAUCUACAGAUCACUCAACAUCUGAAUCUUCAGAAACAUCAACACAAGUGAUUUCAGCAUCUCCAUAUACCUCUUUACAUUCAACGUAUCACUCAUCAACUCCUGAAUAUCCAGAAACUUCAGCAACACAAGCAGUUACAAUGUCACCACUUACUUCACCAGAAUCAUCUACAGAUCAGUCAUCCACAUCUGAAUUUACAGACAAUUUAUUGACAUCUGAAUCUCCAGGAACUUUAUUCACACCAUUGUUUGCACCAUCAGCUUUUACUUUUGCAGAAUUAUCUACAGAUCAGUCAACAUCUAAAUCUCCAGAAACUUCAGGAACACAAGCAGUUAGUGGAUCACCAUCUACUUUCUCAGAAUUAUCUACAGAUCACUCACCAACCACUGAAUCUCCAGUAACUUCAGCAACACAAGCAGUUACAAUGUCACCAUCUACUUCAACAGAAUCCUAUACAGAUCAGUCAUCAACAUCUGAAUAUCUAGAAUGUUUAUCAACACCAUUGGCUACAGUAUCACAUGUUGUUUCACCAGAAUCAUCUCCAGAUCACUCAACAUCUGAAUCCCCAGAAACGUCAACACAAACAAUUACAGAAUUUCCAUAUACUUCCCCGGAAUCAUCAACAUAUCACUCACCAACAACGGAAUCUCUAGAAACUUCAGCAACACCAUCAGUUACAGCAUCCCUUUAUACUUCCCCAGAAUCUUCUACAGAUCAGUCAUCAACACCUAAAUCUCCCGGAAAUUUAUCAGCACCAUCGGUUAUAGCAUCUAUCGUUCCAGAAUCUUCUACAGAUUUGACCUUGACAUCUUCAGCAAUAAAAGUGAAAACCACUGUAGACUAUCAGUCAACACCGAGAGCUUUCUCUUCAUCAUAUGCAACACAAGAAUCAAGUGUAACAUUUUCAAGUCCAUUAUUUCCAUCUGUACUUUCACCUGCUUCACAAACACCAUCUACCACUGAAAUAUCACCUCCAACUUUAUCAGAUCUGCCCUCAACAUUUGCAUUACUACAAUCAACAGUUAAAAUUUCACCUGCUACAGAUUCACCAUCUCCAGCUCCAACUAUAGCUGUAAUAUCCAUAUCUUCAACUCCCUCCUUUCUAUCAACAAGUAUAGCUCAAUUUACUCCAACCACAUCUUCAACAACCAUUUUUUCACCAACAACUUCUAUUCCAUCAGUAAUUACACUAACAACCACCCCUCCAAGAACAACAACUAGUAAAAAUACCAAAUCAACCACAAUAACCACCCAUCCAAUCACAACAGCACUUACAAUACCAAUAACCAAAACAAAUAACACACUAACCUCCACAGUUCCAGCAACUACCACUAAAAAAAAAAACACAACCACAUUUCCCUCAAGUACCACCACAACACCUUCUGUUUUUGUAGCAUCUACAGCUCCACACUCAACAUCUGUAGCUCCAGCAACAACAGCCACAUCUCCAACAAUAAUGGCCACCAUAAUCAAUGGUCUGAGAACAACUACAACUAUCACAUCCAUCUCUCCAACAACAGCUACCUCUCCAACAACACCCACAACUCUUACAAAUACAGCAAACCCCACCACAACCACUAGUCCAACAAUGCCCCUAAACCUAAUAACUGCAUCUCCAAAAACAACUUCAACCUCUUCUACAGCAACAACUAGCACAUCCAUUUCUUCUACAACCACCUUUCCAACAACACCAACAACAAAUCCAAAUACCACAGCCACCAUCACAACCACUGGUCCAAAAACUAUGACUAUCACAAACAUCUCUCCAACAACACCCAUAACUCCUCCGAACACAGAAACCACCACAACCACUAGUCCAGCAAUGGCAACUCCAACAACAACCAGCAAAACCAUUUCUCUAACCUUCUCUGCAACAACACCCACAAUUCCCACAAGAAUAAAAAGAACAACCACCAUCACAUACACUAAUCCAAUAAUGCCCAUACACAUCAUAUCCACCUCUCCAAAAACAAGUCCUUCAAUAACAACCAGUACAACUGUUUCUCCAGCAACCAUUUCUACAACACCAAUAACUCCUCCAGGUACAGUAAUGUCUCCCACAACCACUAGUCCAACAAUGCCAAUAAACAUCAUAACCACCUCUCCAAAAACAACAACUCCUUAUACAACAAUCAGCACAAUCAUUUCUGCAACAACCACUUCUGCAACAACACCAACAAGUAAUCCAAAUACAACAACUAUCAUCACAACCGCUGGACUGACAACACCUACAUAUAUCACAACCAUCUCUCCAACAACAGCUACCUCUCGAACAACACCCAUAACUCCACCAAAUAUAGCAACCACCACCACAACGACUAGUCUAACAACACCCAUAAACCUAAUAAAUGCCAGUCUAAAAACUAUAGAAGCAACCGGCACAACCAUAUCUCUAGCAACCACCUCUACAACAACUUCUCUAAAUAUAACUACCACCACAACUACUCCAACAAACAUAACCACCUUUCUAAAAACACUUACAACUCCUUCAACAACAACCAGCAAAAGCACAGUUCCAGAAACAACUAUAACCCCUCCAACAACCACCAACAAAACCACCUCUCCACGAACAAUUCAACCACCAACAGCUCCACCAUCAACAAACUCUACAGCAUUUGCUCAAGCAGUGGUUAGGAUGCUAUCUGUCACUGAACUAAGCAAUGACAAAAUCAUUAUCUAUAUAGAGGAGUUUUCCAGACUCAUCCAGGCUAAGGUUAAUGGAAACAUUAAGAUUACAGUGAAGAAGAUUCAAAAAGUGACACCUUAAGCAUCACCUUUGGCGAGCAAGUAUUGAACAAUUCUCAUUUCCAUAAAUGAUUGAUGCCAGUCGAAGUUCUGCCAUCUUUUAAUUGUGGAGGUCAUAUGACCAUUAUUUGUCAGCAUUUUUGAAAGGUUAGUUUUUCCCUCAUAUACACUACAACACAAAAAACCUUCAUUUUCAGACAUAUUCCCUUUUGGAGAGCAGUCACAAAAAGAUGCACUUUGGUUGCUAAAAAUGCUGUUUUAUUGCUGAUGGGAAAGCAAAGCAGAUGAGAAAAGAUUUGUGCUUUCAAAUUUAAAAUUUACUGUGUGGACUUGACCUAAAUUGUAAAAAAAAAAAAAAAAAAAAAAAAAAAAAAUUGGGUUAAAAUCCUAAACUUAACAAUAAUUUAUAGUACCCCAAGCCACUACAUUUGACCCCUGCAUGAUUUUGGAUGUACAAGUCAGUAUUCAAAUAAUGCAGGAAGCCGAUAUCUGCAUGAUUUUUCAUUUCAGUGAUUUUAUACCAAAAUCAAAUGAUGUAUAGUAUCAUGAAUGUAUUACCGGGCAUAACACUGCUAUAUGUCACUAUGUCAGUGCAAAUGCACCAUAUUAUCAACUCAGGAUGUCAACUGAUUCAUUAUAGUAACUUUCGCCAAAUAUGUAAGCAUAGUUGUGUUCUGUUAAUAUGAUUCUGUACUGAUAUAAUUUAAAUUCCUGCUGUGUCACACAUAGUAGUCGACUAUGCAAUGUUAUCACAAUAUACAUAUAUAUAUAUAUAUAUAUAUAUAUAUAUAUAUAUAUAUAUAUAUAUAUAUAUAUAUAUAUAUAUAAUAUAUUCUGCAGUGCCAUUAUUCUGUUGGUCAUUACAGUGCCAUUAAAUUAAUAGAAAUAGGUGAAAAACACUCACUCUACAUCAUAGCAAAAAUGCUCUCUCAUACAUCUUACAAAGAGCUUGUAUGUUUGUAACUGAAUAAAAUACCUAUUUAUGUUUUUCUCUAAUAAACCAUGUUUUGACCAUUGACUUUUUUCUUUACUUUGCAUUGCAUUUUAUAAAAUGUACCCCUGCAAUAAUGUUAAUUGCAAACUGGUUAUAGAACCCAGUGGGUAUUAGUUUGGAGUAAAAUU